GUGGCUUUUGAACGCUCCUGCAUUCAUCCUUUAUCCUGAGCAGCCCCUGGCCUCUCCCCUCCCAUUUAUUGCUCAGCCGCCCUCAUCACAAUCUCUCCCCAGUCUGCAAGGGAGCUGAUGGCUAUGAAUGAGAGCUAGGAAAGGAAGGAGGGGGGACAAAGACCCUCUGGUAACCAGAAAGACUCCUGAUUGUGGGUGAAGAGAUCUGAGGUUUGGUCUCUGGUGCCAUCACUCAUGAGGGAACCUUGGGUUCAUCUCUAGUCAGCUUCAGGUUCCCUUUCCAAGAGAGGAAGAAAGUCCAGCAGGAGCUUUGCCAGUUCUGACAUUCUCUCACGUGAAUACACACAGCUUGCGUGGCAGCAUUCUGGUUUCAUGUCUUAGUCACAAAGGUACUCCACUGUAUCAGAAUAUUUUCCUUGGCUGUGACCUCAGGCCAGGCCACAGGUCAGGACAGAAGAUAACACAGGGACCAUAUUGCUAUGGAGAAGAAAACAAGAAGCUAUCUGUUUUUCAAAUAUAGAUAUGGAAUUAGGAAGUGAGAAAGAAAUGGAAUCUGGACUAAUCCAGUGGACUGGCAUGAUCUACUGGGGCAGUUGUCUUGAACAUAUCAGUUCCAGCUGCUGAAACACUGGGACCAUAGAGUGGUGAUGGAAAUAAGAAGAUGAAGGUCAAUUAGGACCACGGUGGGGUUGGGGAAGACAAAGACUUUGGUUUCUGUCCUGUA
rnacentral:lncRNA from 1 species